UACGUAGGGUGCAAGCGUUGUCCGGAAUUAUUGGGCGUAAAGAGCUCGUAGGCGCUUGUCACGUCGCUGUGAAAACCUGGGGCUCAACCCCGGGCCUGCAGCCGAUACGGGCAAGCUAGAAUUCGGUAGGGGAGACUGGAAUUCCUGGUGGUAGCGGUGGAAUGCGCAGAUAUCAGGAGGAACACCGAUGGCGAAGGCAGAUCUCUGGGCCGUUACUGACGCUGAGGAGCGAAAGCGUGGGGAGCGAACAGG
rnacentral:rRNA from 1 species